rnacentral:sRNA from 1 species
UGCAUUUGAAGCCCAUGAGGAUGAGAACCUCCGGGGGCGGGGAGGUUCGACUCGAGCGAAGCGAGAGAACGUUGCGCCAGCAACGGCCCGCAGGGCGAGCCACGAAGUGGCGAGUAAUCCUCUAUCACCCACCA